rnacentral:rRNA from 1 species
AUGCGGUGGCUGAUGAAGCUCCCAGCUGAAGAGGCUGAAACUAACCCAGUGUCACUUUUUGCAAUAUUGGGGGUGGCCGGCAUGGGGAAAUCAGCACUUGCUAAGCUCGUUCACGACGACCCGCAGGUGCCAACCAAUUUCGACAUUGUUGUGUGGGUGAAGGUGUCAUUUGAGUUCAGUGCCGCGGCAGUGGUCAGUGACAUACUGACAUCGAUUGCUGCCACGGAACCUGCAUCCUCUGCUUCUGCUCAUUUGGCAGAGAAGCUCAGAGAUAAGAAGCUUCUGCUCAUUCUAGAUGAUGUCUGGGAAGACGAGGUGAGGGGAAGAUGGGAAGAUUUGCUGUCCCCGAUACGGUCUGCCAAGAGAGGAAGCAAAAUCCUGUUGACCACUAGGAUACAAUCAGUAGCAGAUAUGGCUGCCACCACACUAGGAGGUGAAUUUGAGUGUCUGAAACUGGAUGGAUUACAGGAUAGCGACAAUUUCCUGCUCUUCAAAAGCCUACUGAAUCCCGAUGUGAACUCCCAAGAUUAUGCCAACCUUCUGCUGAUUGGUGAACAAAUAUCAAAAAUGUUUGGAGCCUGCCCAUUCCUGACAUUGGCGGUCGUUUCGCACCUGCGGGAUGAUUUGAAAACUAGUUGGACCGAUGUACUGCAACAACAUUGGUACCAAAUUGAAGGAAUUUAUAGCAUUCUUCCAUCUCUCAAACUGAGCUACGACCAUCUACCUGCACAGCUGCAAAUUUGCUUUAGGUAUUGUAGUUUGUUUGCAAGGGGGCACAAAUUUUACAUGGACAAAAUGGUAGACAUGUGGGUCAGUUCUGGACUAAUACCUUUUGCCUCAAGGGAGCCUGGUGAUAGCUUACCAGCAACAGAUAAUGUUAGCCUUCUGAACCCAGUGGAUGUCGGGGAAGAGUACUUCACGGCAUUGGCAAGAAAAUCAUUCUUUUGCCGUAUGGUAGAAACAGAUCCUUGUGGGGCAAACCAGAAAGAAUAUUAUGUUUUACACAGUUUGCUGCAUGACUUGGCACAGCUUGUCUCUCGAGGUGAAUGCGCAAGAGUGGAUAAUGGUGGUUUCCAAGAUGUCAUGUGGACAACCCGACACAUAUCUAUUGCAAACUGUGGCAUCCUUACUCAUGAAAGAGCCCGGAAGAUAUCUUAUUUGAGGAGUUUGCGGACUCUUAUAAUAGAAAGUGAGUCCUGUCUUGAUCAAGAAACUGAAUUUUUGCUUGGAGAGAUUCUGAAGAGCACAAAAUGCUUGCGUCUGCUGCAAUUGUCUGUGCCAUCUCCAUUUCAUGUACUCGAUAGAUUUCCCAACCUAAUUCAUCUCCGUUAUAUUUCCUUAAUCUCAUGUGACGAGUCUCAUCUUCAUAAAAUCUUUAAAUUCUACCAUCUGCAAGUAUUCAAGCUCAGCUACUUGACAGCAAAAGAACCAGACUUGAGCGACAUAUAUAAUUUACGUUGCUUACGCUCUUUGCAUAUUCCUGACAAUAUGUCAUCCAAGAUUCAUAAACUUGGAAGGUUAACCUCACUUCAGGUUUUACGUGGAUUUGAGGUGGUGCAAAAUGAUGGUAGCAGGCUGAGUACACUGAGCAAUUUAAGAAGCCUUCGUCAACUUGGCCUAAUGAAUCUUCAAAAUGUCCAGAAUUGCAGAGAAGCUAUGGAGGUCAAAUUAAAGGAAAAACAUGACAUGAGGAUUUUGCUGUUAUCAUGGAACAGAUACAAUAAUGAUACACGGGUGGAUGAUCAGAUUAUUGGUAAUCAUGAACCAAAUAGGGAAAUUCAAAUACUGCAUAUCCAUGGAUACAAUGGAUCUGUACUUCCAUUUUGGAUUGCUAAUUCCUUGCUUGUCAAUUUGGUAUCACUUGAGCUUGAGUACUGUAUUAAAUGGAAGAGCCUGCCAUCUCUUCAGGAACUAAAUUUACUCCAGCAUCUGAAGUUGCAGCAUCUUUUUCAGUUAGAAUACAUGGGAUUGGGGCUCGAGGAACUAACUGAUACCAAUGAAUCAGGGAUUGUUUGUUUACCCCGUUUUCUUCGUAGCCUAAUCAUUGGAUGGUGCCCUAACCUGAACAUACUUCGCACUAUACCUCCUAGCCUUGAGGUACUGAUAUUAAAGCAUGUUGGUUUUCUAGUUCUUCCAGGAAUACACCAGAGGGAAUCAAAGACAUCAGUCAAGUCUGAGCUUACAUUUGUACACAUUCAAAGCUGCGCACAUCUGACUUCUCUAGAUAAAGGAUUACUAGAGUGUCAAGAACAACUUGGUUCUCUAUCUACAUUAAUCAUAAGUCAUUGUGAAAGUCUACGCCAUCUACCAAGGAAUGGUUUUGCAGCACUGCAUCACCUGAAAUUCCUGGAAAUGGUUGCCUGUCCAUUGCUGAAGGAUGGCAAUACUGCAGGAAAUAUUCUGCCAAUUUCACUCAAGAACUUGGAUAUAAAUCCUUGCGGUAGUAUUGAUGUUUCAAUGCUCUUGUCACUUCGAAAUCUGUCCUUUCUUACAAAGUUAACACUGUUCAAUUGCACCAACCUGGAGAAACUUCCUCCAGCGGAAAUAUUUGGAACUCUGCAAGUUCUUUCUGAUCUGUCAGUAGCUAGAUGCAGAGGCUUGUUAUCCUUUGGGGGUCUUGGAGCUGUUUCUUCCCUGAGAAUGCUGUCGAUCCUAUGCUGCGACAAGCUCAACCUUUCAGACUCGCCGCAGGGUUGUUGUUCCUUUAUGCUACAAGAGCUCAGAAUCGAUUGCCAGGCCCUGUUGUUUGUGGAGCCACUUCAGAGCCUCAGAUACACUAAAGAGCUAUAUAUCUGCAACGACUGUGCAAUGGAGUCCUUAGCCGAGGGAUGGUUGCUGCAGAAUGCUACUUCCCUCCAUUCCAUCAAGAUAGGAAUUGCCGAAUCUCUGCAAUCCUUGCCAUCUCAGAUGGAUAAGCUUGAAGCGUUACAGAGUUUGCACAUUGAAAGGGCCCCUCUGAUGAAGCUACUCCCACAACUGCCUGCCUCACUUAGCAAGCUGACAAUCUGGGGCUGUGACCCAAUGUUUAUGAAGGGGUAUGAAAAGGAUGUUGGUCCGAACUGGGGCCAGGUCGCGCACAUUGCUCAUGUGGAUAUAAUGUCCUAUUCCGAAGGAAUGAGCUGCAGUGAUGAUCAGAUUCAAGGUUUUGAGAAAAAUGCAUAUAAUCCACGCCAUCAAUUUGUUGUCAUAGAGUAG